UAGAUCUCAAAUCAGUCAG
rnacentral:rRNA from 1 species